rnacentral:rRNA from 1 species
AUUGAACGCUGGCGGUAGGCCUAACACAUGCAAGUCGAGCGGCUGCAGGGUGCUUGCUUGUGCUUACGGCUGCCGACGGGCGGGUGGUGCCUAGAUACAUGCCUGUCAGUUUGUGCUUACGUCCGGACGUGGGGACUCUUACCGCAUUACUCCUGAGGGCGUACGUGGGGGAUCUUCGGAUCUUCCGCUAUCAGGUGAGCCUAGGUCGCGAUGUCGGGUUAGCUAGUUGGCGGGGUAAAGGCCCACCAAGGCGACGAUCCGUAGCUGGUCUGAGAGGAUGAUCAGUCACACUGGAACUGAGACACGGUCCAGACUCCUACGGGAGGCAGCAGUGGGGAAUAUUGGACAAUGGGCGAAAGCCUGAUCCAGCCAUGCCGCGUGUGUGAAGAAGGUCUUCGGAUUGUAAAGCACUUUUAGUGGGGAGGAAAAGCAGCAAGUUAAUACCUCGCUGUUUUGACGGUACCAACAGAAUAAGCACCGGCUAACUUCGUG